rnacentral:rRNA from 1 species
UAACGCGUGGGCAACCUGCCCUCCAGUUGGGGACAACAUUCCGAAAGGGAUGCUAAUACCGAAUGUGCUCCCUCCUCCGCAUGGAGGAGGGAGGAAAGAUGGCCUCUGCUUGCAAGCUAUCGCUGGAAGAUGGGCCCGCGUCUGAUUAGCUAGUUGGUGGGGUAACGGCUCACCAAGGCGAUGAUCAGUAGCCGGUCUGAGAGGAUGAACGGCCACAUUGGGACUGAGGCACGGCCCAAACUCCUACGGGAGGCAGCAGUGGGGAAUCUUCCGCAAUGGACGAAAGUCUGACGGAGCAACGCCGCGUGAGUGAUGAAGGUCUUCGGAUUGUAAAACUCUGUUGUUAGGGACGAAAGCACCGUGUUCGAACAGGUCAUGGUGUUGACGGUACCUAACGAGGAAGCCACGGCUAACUACGUGCCAGCAGCCGCGGUAAUACGUAGGUGGCAAGUGUUGUCCGGAAUUAUUGGGCGUAAAGAGCAUGUAGGCGGGCUUUUAAGUCUGACGUGAAAAUGCGGGGCUUAACCCCGUAUGGCGUUGGAUACUGGAAGUCUUGAGUGCAGGAGAGGAAAGGGGAAUUCCCAGUGUAGCGGUGAAAUGCGUAGAUAUUGGGAGGAACACCAGUGGCGAAGGCGCCUUUCUGGACUGUGUCUGACGCUGAGAUGCGAAAGCCAGGGUAGCAAACGGGAUUAGAU